rnacentral:rRNA from 1 species
CAAUAGCGUAUAUUAAAGUUGUUGCAGUUAAAACGCUCGUAGUUGGAUUUGUGGCUGUCACGGGCGGCCUAUCACUUAGUGUUAGUGCUUGCCUGUGUCGCCAUCCUUGGGUGGAGCCCGUGUGGCAUUAGGUUGUCGUGCGGGGGAUGCCCAUCGUUUACUGUGAGAAAAUUAGAGUGUUCAAAGCAGGCUUAUGCCGUUGAAUAUGUUAGCAUGGAAUAAUAAGAUAGGACCUCGGUACUAUUUUGUUGGUUUGCGCACCGAGGUAAUGAUUAAUAGGGACAGUUGGGGGUAUUCGUAUUUCAUUGUCAGAGGUGAAAUUCUUGGAUUUCUGAAAGACGAACUACUGCGAAAGCAUUUACCAAGGAUGUUUUCAUUAA